GAUGAAGAACGUAGCGAAAUGCGAUAAGUAGUGUGAAUUGCAGAAUUCAGUGAAUCAUCGAAUCUUUGAACGCACAUUGCGCCCUUUGGUAUUCCAAAGGGCAUGCCUGUUCGAGCGUCAUUUGUACCCUCAAGCUUUGCUUGGUGUUGGGCGUCUUGUCUCUAGCUUUGCUGAGACUCGCCUUAAAGUAAUUGGCAGCCGGCCUACUGGUUUCGGAGCGCAGCACAAGUCGCACUCUCUAUCAGCAAAGGUCUAGCAUCCAUUAAGCCUUUUUUUCAACUUUUGACCUCGGAUCAGGUAGGGAUACCCGCUGAACUUAAGCAUAUCAAUAAGCGGAGGA
rnacentral:misc_RNA from 1 species